rnacentral:rRNA from 1 species
UAGAGGAAGUAAAAGUCGUAACAAGGUUUCCGUAGGUGAACCUGCGGAAGGAUCAUUAUCGAAUUUCGAGGGGGGGAAGAUGAAGGGGAGACUGUCGCUGGCGUUCGCUGUGCACGUCUUUCUUUUCGUCGACCUUUCUCUUACUCUCACACCUGUGCACACACUGUAGGUCUCUCGAAAGAGGAUCUAUGUUUUCAUCAUCACACACACUGUAUGUCUAGAAUGUAUCACGAUCGUCGACCGGCCUUGCGGUCGGGUGGCGGUCAAAUGAAUAAAUACAACUUUCAGCAACGGAUCUCUUGGCUCUCGCAUCGAUGAAGAACGCAGCGAAUUGCGAUAAGUAAUGUGAAUUGCAGAUUUUCAGUGAAUCAUCGAAUCUUUGAACGCACCUUGCGCUCCUUGGUAUUCCGAGGAGCAUGCCUGUUUGAGUGUCAUGUAAUUCUCAACCACGUCUCGAUUGAUUUCGAGGCAUGGCUUGGACUUGGGGGCUGCUGGUGGCGAAAGCUGUCAGCUCUCCUGAAAUGCAUUAGCAACGGACAGCAAUGUCUGACGUGCACGGCCUUGACGUGAUAAUGAUCGUCGUCGCUGGAGCGUCGGACGUGCACACGAGUCCGUUUGCUUCGAAUCCUAUUGACUUGAGACUUGGACAUUUCGAGAGAAGCGUCAGCUACUAGUCGGUCAUGAGGCCGGCGAACGUGGGCUUGCUCGGAGGUCAGAGUCCCUCGUCUUUUUUCAUGACUUGACCUCAAAUCAGGUAGGACUACCCGCUGAACUUAAGCAUAUCAAUA